rnacentral:rRNA from 1 species
UACGAAGGGUGCAAGCGUUAAUCGGAAUUACUGGGCGUAAAGGGUGCGUCGGCGGUUGUUUAAGUCUGUCGUGAAAUCCCGGGGCUCAACCCCGAGCGGUCGUGAGAAACUGGCGGGCUAGAGUGCGGGAGAGGAGAGUGGAAUUCCUGGUGUAGCGGUGAAAUGCGCAGAUAUCAGGAAGAACACCCGUGGCGAAGGCGGCUCUCUGGAACGCAACUGACGCUGAGACGCGAAAGCGUGGGGAGCAAACAGG